rnacentral:lncRNA from 1 species
UGCUUCUUCCUUCCUCCUCAGGAUAGGUGCCUUGGGACAGUGCCUCACAUGAGGCCUAGAAACAAGUAAAGUAUUAUCUGAUACUUUAAUAAUGAAAGCUCUUUGGAUAGUGUUUGAGAGAGGCUAAGAAACCCAUAUUCCAGUUUUAUGAAAAUAGGUCUCCGCUGGAGUCUAGGGAUGUAAUUAAAGGCACUAUAUCUUGUUUCAUAAUUUUAGCAUCCAGUGGGGGAGAAAGGUUGCCCACAAGGCUGGCAGAUCAUUUGGUAUUUUGGAGAUAAGCUCUCUCUAUAUCACAGAGGGAGUAAGAGAAAUGGUAAGUAAAUAGUGACGUGAGAUAAUCAAACAGGAAAGAAACUAACAAGUGGAUCUGUUGUCUCUUGAAGAUCCCCAAAUUAAGAUGGUAGGCAUUCUACUCUCUGGAAGCAAUGAUCAGAAGAAUUUGUUAGUUCUCUCAGUAAGACCUGAGUGGGCUGAAUGUCAUAUCAUUGGAUCAGCAAAAGUGAAAAUGAGUGUAUAUGGGAAGAAUGCUAAGCAGAGUUGUGGCAUACCCAGCUGCACUGGAGGAUUUUUAGGAGAAGGGCAUAAAGACCUUGAGGGUAUAGCCUUAUUCUAAAACACUUUUGCAUACUUUUUUCUCAUGGGGAGCAAACAGCCAGACUGAAAUGGAAUUAUUAUUUUACUGAUAAUAGAGGACAGUAUUACCUUAGGAGCAGAUAGGGCUGAAAGUCAUGCAUUACUAAACUUGAGGUCACUGGAAUCAUAUCAUUUCAUUUGUUCAGCAAACAUUUAUUACACAGCCAGAAUUAGCCAAAAUAAAUUCAUUCAUAAAGAAUUACGACCCUUUUCCUUGAGGAUCUACAAUCUAAUUGGAAAGAUGGGAGGACAAAAGAAACAUAGGAAAUAGCAAAAGCCAGUGUUUGCUUCUAUAUGCAGAAUAAGAAAUAAUCACACAAAAGCAUAGGGUUUUGGAGCUAAGGGACUGAGAUUUUCUAUUCUAAUCCCUUUUUUCAAGAGGUGAGGAAGUUCAGGUCAAGUCCUACAGAGAUGAGGCUAAUUCUCUGACUCCAAUGGGAGAGCCCUACCCACUCUGCACUGUGUUUAAAAUGGCACUGUGUUAAAAAUGCAGAACAGUAGGUGGGACAGAAAGUUUUGGUCAGGGAAGCCUUGGUGGGGGAGGUAAGAAGCAAGCCAGCUUUGGGAGGAAGUGUGGGGACGAAAUUGAACUCAAUUGGUGAAGAGGUAGAAGACAUUUCAAAGUUUGGACACUAGAUGGGCAGUGCAAGAAGCCAGACUGGGCAAGCUGUGUAGCCAGGAACUCAGAAGGCCACCAGAACAUUCCCAUGUGCUCCCUAAGCUUCCUCCUUUGAAAGCCCAAGAACAAUUCUUUUAGUCCCUCUUCCAACUUUAACUAGAGUAUAUUCUUUAUAGCCUAAGACUCCAAACUCAUACUAUUUACUUUUGUCAGUUCUUCAUUUCUGUCUUACUCCUUCCAGGCAGGGAUUUAGUGGAUUAAGAUAGAAUCGACUACUGGAUCUACAAGAACACCUGACAGCCUCCAUGUCAUUUCUGAAAACAUGACAGAAUUCUCCAACCUGACUUGGAGCAUAAACUUUGAAAACUAAGGAGUAUAUAAUAUGCUUAUUCAUUUCAGGAUUGCUUUUUAAACCAGGAAUUGCAAGUUCCAGAUGCAGAAUAUUUUCUCCCAGCCAGGGAGUGAGCAGUUUUUAUAAGGGAAUGCAGAGAAUGUUGACCUCUGUAUAGGAAGUGGGGGUCAGCCAACGUGAGGUGAGUUGGGUGAAACACGUAAGACGUUCCACUGAAAAGAGGAACUAGUAUACUGGUCAGGAAGGUUUGGGAAACAUUGCUGAUUCUCUAACCAAGUAAGUCUGGAGUUUUAUAAUGCACAUGAGCAUAUAAAAUGUUCUUAGAACUUCUGGGAUAAAGAAAACAGUUUGAUUUUGUUUAAGCCCAUGUUUCCAAACUUACUUGGACACAGACUCUUUCUUGUGUCAGUGGAACCAGGGCCCUGCAAGUGACAUCCUUGGAAGUGCUGCUGUGAGAAAUCAGUACAAGGCACUCGGAAUGGGUGGCAGAAUCCUCAUCCCAGCUGACUCAGGGGAGACACCCAGAGCGCCUGAUUGUCAACAGCACAUUUGAGAUACCUGUAGGCUGUCGUUUCUGUAGAAGUCAGUGUCUCAAGCUGGGGAAAUAUAGUCCUCAAGUUCAGCUCUUCCCAGAGUCUUUUACUCAGGAAAAAAGUAAACAAGGAUGAGAUUUAGGGAUACUACUUUCUUCCAAAGUCUUAAGCAACUCUUUCAUUUCCAGAUGCUUUUAAAUCAUUUUUUAAAGCCUGGGUGUAGGUGUGGUGCUCUCUGUGCUAAGAGACAAAACAAAACAAGAAAAUUAAAAAUGUACAACUACCAUGAGAUAGAGUGCUUGGAUUUACCCUGGAUUUAGAAGGCCAUGGUAGGUGGCUUGAAUAUAAUAGAAAAGUCCACCAGAAGAAAAUGGAAACAAAUUCUACCCUUGAAGGAAAUCAAUCCAUUCCACUAAUUUGAAAUCCUAGUACCUUCCAUCAUACUUUCCUGGCUGAAGAUUAAUUCUCAGAAUUCAUUAGUGUCACCACAUUAAACACAGGUUGUUGCAGCCAUGUGCUGUGAUCUCCCAGCCUAGCUUCUGCCAGAAACAGGCAAAAAGGAGACAUUUCUUAGCAAGAAACAAGGUCUGACUUCCGUAUUGCUCUCUAGAACUGGUGGGGCCCGUGUUCUUUCCGUCCCCAAAUGAUAACACUGUCGAGACACAGCUGCCUUGUCACUGUAAACUGCCAUUUCAUAACCAAAAAAUCAGAUGGCUGAAAGAGGAAGCUAUUUAUCAAUAGUCACAGGCAGAUGUUUAUAUGAAUAAAACACACUUGAUAAAGAGCAGCUGAAAAGUCAAAAACUAAAAAUACUGGUGAACUGGGUGAGAGAAGCAGGAGGGGAAGCAAUCCUGUUCCAUGCAAAACUAGAUCAAAACUUGGGAUUUGUGUCUCUUCUAAUUUCCUUUUUAAUAUUCUUUUAUACUUUCCACUGUUUUCCUGUGGGUUUAGAUUGUGAAGUGUUUGCACUGGUACAUAAUAUCCAAACAGUUUUGAUCAGAGCACACAUUUCCCUGCCUCGUGAUGCAUCUUGCUGCCCUGCAGUUCCUAUCAUCGUCAGACAGAAGCCUGAGUGACAAAGAGGCCUCUGCAUCAAAAGGAGAAAAUCCUCCAGGGGAUAUACUAAUUAUAGGUUAAAUAUUGGAGCCCGUGGUGCUCUGUCUUGGAAGGAAAUUUCCAUUCUGAAAGACAGGACUAUGACAAACACAGGCAUUUUCCCAAGAUGACUAAUGCCUCAAAAGAAGGCAGGCUGAGAAACUUGAUAAUGCAUAUGUAUUUUAGUGAAACCUCACCUUUCCAUUUGGUGGAAUAUUUAACUGCAUUUCAGUUUUCAUGAAGUUGACAACUAUUGCAUGUGGUGGUGUUUUAAAGUCUUGCUGGCAAGGCUGGGCCUGGGAUGAGAAAGUGGGUUCCUAACCUAAAACAUGUGAGAACCAGAAGCACCUUUGCUUUAGUCAGCAAGGUAGGUCUGUGGUUAUCAAUCAAUGAGAAAUAGUAUUCGCUAAAAGUAAAAAAGCCCUGAGAAUGUAGGACAGAGGGUUUUAGAACAGGAAGCUCUGGGGCACCUGGGUGGCUCAGUCGGUUAAGCAUCUGACUUCCGCUCAGGUCAUGAUCUCACAGUUAGUGCAUUCAAGCCCUGCGUCAGGCUCUGUGCUGACAGCUCAGAGCCUGGAGCCUGCUUCAGCUUCUGUGUCUCCCCUUCUCUCUGCCAUUCCACCCCCCCCCCACCGCCCCCCGCUCAAAAAUAAAUAAAUGUUAAAAAAAAAAAGAAAAAGAAAAAAAAAAAAAAGAACAGGAUGCUCAAUCUCCUUUUGAAAGGGGUAACAGGCACAGAUUCUGUGUGGCAAAGUCAGAGAUAAGACUACAGGGCUACAGGACAACAGAGCAGCUGCCAUCUUGCCUCAAAUGCCAGGGCAAGGAGAACCCCGAUGCAGGCUUAGAAAACCAUCAAGUCAGCCCAAGCUUUAAACAAAGCAAACAGCACCAAAAGUCCAGAGUGAGCUCAGGGGAACCUAACAAGGAAACAGAAAGAGAAAAACAUUGCGUUUCCUGUAACCUGAGACAAAGAAGAAAUAACUCUUCUCUCCCAGAGAAAACUCAAAGGUGAAGAAGGCAACCAGAGAAAAAGCAUAGGGUGGUUGGAAGCCACAAGAGAAAAUCUAGGUGGAUAGGGACAGAAUCUUCCUCCAGAGUUAAGGAACAUACACUAGGGUAGCUAGAGAAGGAUCCCAUGCAAAAACAGGGACCAGGACUGGAGGACCUAAGGCAGAAAGCUGCAGUGUGAAAGCCCCAUAACAGACAAGAGCUGCAGUCUACGUGACAUCUGUGAACAAGUCCUCUUUACUUCAUCCUUAUGUUUCUGACUCCAAGAUCAAUAGUAAAUAAUUAGAAAAGCCCAGACUAACUGGCCAUGUUCUUAAGGAAGGUGACGUGGUAACAAAAAUUCUAGAUCCUCAAGUACUGUUUGUUUGGGGGACUUGCUGGGGGUCACAGCUGGGAGGGACCAAGGGAAGAGAAUAUACUAUGGACAAUGGGCAGAGUUAAUUUGGGAGAAGGAGUCAAAGUGCCAAGCAAAGAGAUGAAGUGAGGAGAAGGACCAAGUAGAACCAGGCCAGAGUCAAGGAUCAAGUCUAGAUGGGGACACAAAGGCUAUCCAAAGAGAAGCCCAUGGAAUAUGUGGUGGCAGGGGCGGUGGUUUUAUUAUGAUUGUUAUUGGCACUUCCUUCUUUGGUUUAAUCUGCACUUUUGAAGUAUCAUAUGGCAGCUGCAGAAGACCAGGGAUGAGUAUGGCCUCCACUGGACAUGCCAUAGCCAAGAAAGAUCCCAAAAUUUGUGUCCUACAAUUAAGGCAAUCUUAAGGACUGUAAUCAAUGGCCCCAAGUGACCACCUUCUUGCUCCUGUGUUUUGUUUCUUUCUUCCUUGGUUGGGAAAGCACUUUGCACUUAAAUAUUUUUCCAGGCAACUCUACUCAUGUUGCUCAGUUAGGACACCUGAAAAAAAAAAAUGAGCCAUUACACCAUUGCACAGCCCAGUGACUUGCUUACUGGGCUGUUCAUCCGUGUUCAAAUCCCACCAUCUGAUUCGAAGGGCUGGGAAAGGCGUGAUCUCUGGGUGAUGGGAAUCCCUGGAUGCCUCCACCUCUCAGGCUGCAGUGCUGCCAGUUCCCAAGGAUCUGGGCGUUCGCUGCUCCUGCAGGUACUGCCGAGUCUCCUCUACGCAGCCACACCACUGCCUCAUGGGUCUCUGUGAGGGGCUGGGGUCGGUCACAGGUCAGCCAUAGACUCAGCCAGCAAACCCAGCACAGGGCUUUUUUCCUUUAAAGGUCUUCGCUUCAGGUCUUUGCUUUCACGUGAAAAUUCAGGAAAUAUUUGCCUGAAGCACCCCAGGAAGGUGAGGAGUAGUCAAAGAGGGGAGUGAUGGCUGAACUCAGAAGGAAGUAGUUAUGGAAAACGUGGGUGAGCCUGGGCAGAAUAAUCUAGAUGGUGGCAAGUCCAUCUAAAAAAGAUAUUAGGGACGCCUGGGUGGCUCAGUCGGUUAAGCAUCUGACUCUUAAUUUUGGCUCAGGUCAUGAUCUCGCAGUUCGUGAGUUUGAGACCCACAUCGGGCUCUCUGCUGACCAUGCAGAGCCUGGUUGGGUUUCUCCCUCCCCCUCUCUCUCUAUACAUUCAUAUAGCAUAUGAUACAUAGUUAUAUAUUAAAUAUUAUCAAUCUUAAAUAUUUUAAGUUGUAUAUUGAUUUAUUUAAAUAACAAUGUGCUCAAUCUCCAAACCCAUUAUUCUCCCAAGUGUGACACAUGUACUCACUCAUUUAAAAAAAAUGUUUGGUGCCUAGUAUUGCACCAGGAUCAUAUAAAUAGGUUAAAAGCCAGAGAUCGAGGUCAAACUUAACUCUACUUUUUAUGGAUAUGUGUUAACAUGCAAGUUAAUCAAAUUCUCUGGGCCUCGGUGUCUUCAUCUAUAAAACGGGAAUAAUGUCAUUGUGGGGAGUAAAUGAGAUAAUCCAUGUAUGGUGCCUGGCACAUAGUGAGCAUUCAAUAAAUACCAGCUAUAUGGGCCAGCCACUGUGCUAAGUGCUGGGGAUACAGUAAGUCAGUCCAUUUGGGGAAGACAGCCAUGGCAUACCCAAUUCCCAGCAGGAUGAGUGGUAUAAAAAUAAAUGUUAAUGUGCAAUGGCUCCUUGAGUUAGACUUGAAUAAUACUGUGUCCAUAAACUAGCUACUUUUUCUCAAUGCAAUUCCCACCACUGUGAACAAAACCCUUGUUUGACAGAUGCCCUGAUCAGAACUUACAAAGUUCUGGAGGAAAGGCGGGACUUUGAGGGUCUGACAAUUCAGCAAAAGCAAAGAACUCUGGCAUUUUCAAGUUCAAGCCCUUAGGCACUCCUGUUUUUGAAUGUCUGGUUAAUUUCUUUGAUUCAAAAAUCAAUUUCCAUUUUGACAAACAGUUAUGGUCUGCUUCUUAGUCCAGGCUUAAGAGCUGGGGGAUAUAUGAAUUCUAAUCCUUCCCUUGAUCCUAUUUGCUACCCUACCCAAAUUAAAUCCAUAAUUUCCAUUUGCAUGCAUUUUUUUCCCUCUAAGAGGAAGCAAUGGACAGCACCCAGCCAUCACCUAUGAGAAAUCAACAACCGGUUCCAUAGUGCAUGACUAUUAGAAGCUCAGGACUCUCCAGGACUAGAGUGGGAGCUAGAAGAGUGCAAAACAAACACAACAUAUUAUAUGCCUCCAUAAGAAACUUCUCUUCCAAGGUAAUACCAAACUUACAUAUGUGACAUAUUUAGUAAACCCAGUGGGACUGAAUUUAUUGAUUCAUUCAAACACUUAUUAGGUAUUUACUGUGAAUGGUGCUCCACCAAAUGCUUGUGGGGAAAAGAUGCCUAGAGUGAGAGGUUAGUCUUCAUGGAAUUUACAAACAAGUAGUAAAAUAGACAUAACCAUAAAUAAUGAUAAUUGAAGGCCAAGAAGUAUAAGCACUAGAGUAGUUCAGGCCAAAUAAACAACUGUAGCUAGAAGAAGUCAUUUCAUGUGAGAAAUGACACUUGGGACUUAAAGUGUGAAAGGGAUACUGACAAGAAGUUCAGGAGAGGGGCAUUACAAGUGGAGGAUACAGUAGAAAUAGAAGCCCACUGGUAAAAUGUGUGGCCCAUAUGAGAAUAGACCAGAACAGAACAAUGCAGUUGUAAUAGAGACAGGGGUGAGAAUCUGGCCAGGAACAUCUUAUCCAAAACCUAGAAGGCCAUGCUGGCAAACUUUGGUUUUCCUUCGUAGCCACACUGAACUGGCUUUUUUGAGCAGGGAGAUAACACAAUUAGAUCUUUGCUUUAAAAAAUGAACAGGCAGGGGCCCCUGGGUGGCUCGGUCGGUUGAGCGUCUGACUUCAGCUCAGGUCAUGAUCUCAAGGUUUGUGAGUUCAAGCCCUGCAUCUGGCUCUGUGCUGACAGCUCGGAGCCUGGAGCCUGCUUCAGAUUCUGUAUCUCCCUCUCUCUCUGCCCCUCUCCCACUCACACUCUGUCUCUCUCUGCCUCUCAAAAAUAAAGAAAUGUAAUAAAAAAAAAAUUUUUAGAUGAACAGGCACCACAUUAUAGAGUAAAUCACAGGGAGGGAAGGGGGGAUCCCUUUAGGAAGCAUACAGUCUGAAUUAAGGAAAUGGGAAGGGAAAGGUGAUGGUUGUAGCUGUGAAACUUGAAGGCAAGUCAGGAAUGAAUAAUGAUAAAAGAAGGGGCGCCUGGGUGGCUCAGUCAGUUAAUCAUCAGACUCUUGAUUUCAGCUCAAGUCAUGAUCUCACAGUUUGUAAGAUCGAGCCUCAAGCCUCAUGUUGAGCUCCACGCUGAGCAUGGAGCCUGCUUGGGAUUCUCUCUGCCCCUCUUCUCCCCUUGCUCUCUCUCAAAAAUAAAUAAACUUAAAAAAAAAAAAGAAGAAGGGGCCAUUGGUGGAAUCUUCAGCCAACUUAGAUUGAAAUUUAUAGGAUGUACCUGCAGCUAAACCUUGGCAAAUAUCAUAAUCUACUUUUUAUCUUCACUACCUACAUGUAACCUCUUUCAAAGGAACCCAGGUCUUACCAAUUCGAUGAUAUCUUUUUACUCUUCAUUCUAUUCAACCUCUUUGUUCAAGUUGUCAUUGAUGACCAUUGUUGACCUGCCUCACCUUCAUGAAACAUUUUCUUUCUGUGCCUGAAGUGAUGCUACAUCUCUUCAUCAUUGUCUUACUUCUCUGACCACAUCGCUAGUUUAUUUUCACUGUCAGGUAGAACAAGAUGACAAAAGAAAGGGGACAGGAUAUGCAAAGACAAGAAGGAAAUGAAAUAAAAUUACAGUAUUUAUGCCCACAGGCUUGGAAUUUGCUGAACAAACAGACUUUGCCUAGUGGAUCAAAUAAACUGAACUAGAUAAUAUGGACAGAAUUUUGCAUCCUUUGGAGAUGGAUAUCCCUAUUCUUAGAAAUUCACAAUCUCAAACAAGUCUGUAGAUUCUGCUAAAAGUAAGUGGGCUUGACUGGUAUGUGCAUGUCUGGCACUAAGUGCAAAUUAAAAGUGUAAGAAAACCAGCAAAAGCUAUUAUAUAAAAUUUAUAGUUGAUUAAUGACUUUUAUAAUAGCUUUAAUAUAAUUCAUAUGCCAUACAGUUCACACUUCUAAAUUCAAAAAGUUUUAGUAUAGUCACACAAUUAUAUAACCAUUAUCAUAAUCAAUUUUCUGAAUAUUCUGAUCACUGCCAAAAGAAACUCCAUAUCCAUUAGUAGUCACUCCCCAUUUUUCCUCAACCUCCUCAGUCCCAGACAACUACCAAUCUACUUUCUGUUUCUAUGGAUUUGCCUAAUUUGGACAUAUCCUGUUAUAUAUGUGGCCUUUGUGACUGGCUUCAUUCAUCCAGCAUAAUGCUUUCAAAGUCCAUCCAUGCUGUAGCACAUAUCAAUACCGCAUUCUUUUUAUUGCUAAAAAAUGUUCCAUUAUAUGGAUAUACCACAUUUUGUUGCAUUCAUCAGCUGAUGGACAUUUGGGUUAAUUCUACUUUUAAGCUAUUAUGAACAAUGCUUCUAUGAACAUUUAUAUACAAGUUUUUUUUUUUAGUUAUUUAUUUAUCUUGAGAGAGAACAUGAGCAGGCGGAAAUGGCAGAUGGAGAGAAAGAAUCCCAAGCAGGCUCCAUGCUGUCAGUGCAGAGACCAACGCAGGGCUCAAUCUCACAAACCGUGAGAUCAUGACCUGAGCUGAAAUGAAGAGCUGAACGCUUAACCAACUGAACCACCCAGGCACCCCUGUAUAUAAGUUUUGUUUGUUUGGUUGUUUGGGUUUUUUUGGCUUUAACCCAGAAUCAGGAAAUGUAUACAAGUUUUUAUGUGGACACAUAUUUUCAUUUCUCCUGGAUAUGUAUUGCUGGAUUAUACGGUAACUUUAUAUUUAACCUUCUGAGGAACUACAAGACUAUUUACUAAAGUGGCUGCAUCAUUUUACAUUCCCACCACCACUGUAUACAAUUGUUUUCUAAAACUUCACCUUGUUCUACAAAUAAUUUAAGGCAUUCUACAACACUUGUUUAAGGUAUAUGCAAUACGACAAAAUAAAAAAUAAUUAUAGGCAGAAGAGAAAACGAAACGGGGUGCCUGGGUGGCUCAGUCAGUUAAGUGGCCGGCUUUGGCUCAGGUCAUGAUCUCACAGCUCCAAAGCUCAUGAGUUCAAGCCCCACAUGGGGCUCUGUGCUGACAGCUCGGAGCCUGGAGCCUGCUUCCGAUUCUGUGUCUCCCUCUCUCUCUGCCCCUCCUCUGCUUGCACAGGCUCUCUCUCUCUCACUCACUCUCUCUCUCUCUCGCUCUCUCAAAAAUAAGUAAACAUUAAAAAAAAUUUUUAAAGAAGAGAAAAUGAAACAAAGGGGAAAUUAGGGAAUAAAAAUAGAAUUUAGAGUACCAAAUAAAUUACUUUGGUAGAGUGGCCACAAAUUUGGCUCCGGGCUCUGUAGCAGCCAAUGUGAAGGGAAAAUGCAGCCUGCUCUAUAUUUCUUAAAAUCCAUGAUGUAAAAACAGACUAGGUGCUUGUAGAAAUAUGAAUAUAUGAUGAUGACUGGCAAGGAGACUAGAAAUAGAGGUUUCCUGGGUUUUCAUAGAAAUUACUCUAUAUAAGGUAAUGAAUACUAUUUCCCUCCAAUAAACAUAGCCAUGAGUUUCACAGAGUUGUUUCUUAUCUUCAAUCCCAACUGAUAUCUUCUAUCAAAGAAUUAUAUAGCAAAAAAAUUCUCCCUGGGUGGCCAAUGUAAGGAGGCACAGAGAGCUCUUUGAUCUUAACCCAGAGCUAAAUCUACCAGUUACUUGGUAAAUUUUUAUAGUCAGGUCCCCUGAUUCUUAAAAUGCUGAAUGCAGAUGCUGGCAUCCAUCAAGGAAAGGAAAGGCCGGGUGCCAAGACACCAUGUACAGUUGACCUUUCAACUUCACGGGUCCACUUAUAUGUGAAUUUUUUCAAUGAAUACAGUAUAAUACUGUAAAUGUAUUUUCUCUUUACAUUUUCUUAACAUUUUUCUCUAGCUUACUUUAUUGUAAGAGUACAGGAUAUAGUACAUAUAAUACACACUAUGAGUUAAUCAACUCUUUAUGUUAACAGUAAGGCUUCUAGUCAACCAUGGGCUAUUAGUAAAGUUUUGUAUCAGAAGUUACACACAGAUUUUCAACUGUGUGAGGGGUUGGUGUCUCCAACCCUCACAUUGUUCAAAGGUCAGCUGAACUAUUCAUUGCAAAGAAUGGAAAGAAAAUUGCUGAAAAAUUUAGCCCAUGGAUGAAAAGCAACUCAAAGAAGGGAGCAAUUUAAUCCCACAGGUGGAGUUUGGGAGAGGGCAAGAAGAGGAUUGAAGCACAACACAAGUGGGAAUGGAAACAGUAAGACUGUCAAAUUUGCUUUUUAAAUAAUGACAAUGCUGGUUCCAAAUUUCAGGGCAUAGUACACGGUGGAGAAAGAUUAGACUGAGAAGAAAAAUCAUGGCCAAGACUUUCAAUAAUCUGGCAUUGUGUCCGCCCACAUUUAGCACCCUUCCCUUGAUGUGUGCUUUUUCGGUAAAGACUUACAUAGACUAAACACUGGCUGAUUGCCAACUAUAUGAAUAUUAUUGAUGGUAUAAAAUCAAAUUGGGGAAGGGGUGCCUGUGUGGCUCAGUCGGUUGAGCGUCUGACUUCAGCUCAGGUCAUGAUCUUGUGGUCUGUGAGUUCGAGCCCCAUGAUGGGCUGGCUCUGUGCUGACAGCUCAGAGCCUGAAGCCUGCUUCUGAUUCUGUGUCUCCCUCUAUCUCUGCCCCUCUGCCACUCAUGCUCUGUUUCUCUCAUUCUCAAAAAUUAAUAAAUGUUAAAAAAAUUUCAAAAAAAUCAAUUUGGGGAAAAUAAACUAGACUGGGUUUUCAUUAAUACCCUAAACACUACUGAAAAGCCUGGAGAUGGCACAAAAACAGACAGACACUCAGAUCAAUGGAACAGAAUAGAGAACCCAGAAAUGGACCCACAAAUAUAUGCCCAACUAAUCUUUGACAAAGCAGGAAAGAAUAUGCAAUGGAAUAAAGACAGUCUCUUUAGCAAAUGGUGCUGGGAAAACUGGACAGCGACAUGCAGAAGAAUGAACUUGGAUCACUUUCUUAUACCACACACAAAAAUAAACUCAAAAUAGAUGAAAGACCUAAAUGUAAGACAGGAAGCCAUCAAAAUCCUUGAGGAGAAAGCAGGCAAAAACCAUUUUGACAUCAGCCACAAACUUCUUACUCAACACGUCUCUGGAUGCAGGGGAAACAAAAGCAAAAAUGAACUAUUGGGACCUCACCAAAAUAAAAAGCUUCUGCACAGUGAAGGAAACAAUCAGAAAAAUGAAAAAGCAACUGAUGGAAUGGGAGAAGAUAUUUGCAAAUGACAUAUCAGAUAAAAGGUUGGUAUCCAAAAGUAUAAAGAACUUAUCAAACUCAACAACUAAAAAACAAUCCAGUGAAGAAAUGGGCAAAAGACAUGAAUAGACACUUCUCCAAAGAAGACAUCCAGAUGGCCAACUGACACAUGAAAAAAUGCUCAACAUCACUCAUCAUCAGGGAAAUACAAAUCAAAACCACAAUGAGAUACCACCUCACACCUGUCAGAAUUGCUAACAUUAACAACUCAGGCAACAGAUAUUGGCGAGGAUGUGGAGAGAGAGGAUCUCUUUUGCAUUGUUGGCAUUGUUGGUGGGAAUGCAAACUGGUGCAGCCACUCUGGAAAACAGUAUGGAGGUUUCUCAAAGAAUUAAAAAUAGAACUACCCUACACCCCAGCAAUUGCACUACUAGGUAUUUAUCCAAGGGAUACAGAUAUGCUGUUUUGAAGGGGUACGUGCACCCCAAUAUUUACAGCAGUGCUAUCAACAAUAGCCAAAGUAUGGAAAGAGCCCAAUGUCCAUUGACAGAUGAAUGGAUAAAGAAGAUGUGGUAAAGAUAUACAAUGGAGUAUUACUCGGAAAUCAAAAAGAAUGAAAUCUUGCCAUUUGCAACUAUGUGGAUGGAACUGGAGGAUAUUAUGCUAAGUGAAAUUAGUCAAAGAAAGACAAAUAUCAUAUGACUUCACUCAUAUGAGGACUUUAAGAUACAAAAGAGAUGAACAUAAGGGAAGGGAAGCAAAAAUAUAAAAACAGGGAGAGGGAAAAACAUAAGAGACUCUUAAAUAUAGAGAACAAACAGAGGGUUGCUGGAGGGGUUGUGGGAGGGGGGUGGGCUAAAUGGGUAAGGGGCAUUAAGGAAUCUACUCCUGAAAUCAUUGUUGCACUAUAUGCUAAGUAACUUGGGAUGUAAAAUAGAUUAUUAAAAAAAAAAAAAGAGUACACUAAAUGUGAUGGGGAAAAAAAAAAAGCCUGGAGAAAAUAUUGUCAGAUAAUAUGUAGCUGUAAAUGUCAUGCAAAUCAGGAUUUUGUACAGCUAUUCGCAGCCUUGGUUUAUGUUCCUGAGGACACAAACCAUUACCAUGCCUGUCACCUGCCAUCCUUCUGCCCAAUUUCUCAGCAAGAAAAGCUUCCAAGGGCAAUGAACUGCAAUACUUAAAUGACUGCUUCUGUUGCACUUUGGACAGACAGUUCUUCCCAAGGAAGUGGCCACCCAAGGAAGCCAGUUAGUGCUGAGCCUCUGUGCUUUUAGGCCAAGAAAUGAACACUUCACCCCCUGGGGACGUCAAUCCAGUGCCUUGUUCAAGCACUAAAUUUUUGAAAGAUAAAAUAUUUUUCUUUUUUAGGCAAGGGAAAGAGUAAAGACACCAACUGCCAAAGAGAGCCUGGGGAGUCCUUAACACUCUUCCAUUAACAUGAAGGAGCAGAACAGCUCCAUCUAUUACAUCAAAGCCUCAUCAGAGACCCUAAUCCUUUAUGAAAGGAACUCUCAGGCAGCCAAGCCUUUAAUUUGCUGAAUAAUAGGCCCUCUGAUUAACCCUUGCAAAGCAAAGUACAGACGUUGCAGGCAACAAAUGUUCCCAGGCGGUGAGAGAGAAAGGGGGCGGGGGCUGGGAUGGCUCCUACUCCCACUGUUAGUGAACUAACUCUGUGCAUAGGUUUCUAAAUGGUUAGCUUUCUGUUUUCCCAUUUUCAUUUCCCUGUUCACUCUCUCUCCUGGGAAUAUGCUACUUCCAUUCUCUGAGACUUCCUGUGUCCUGAGCUUUAAGCUACUGUAACUCAGUGAAAUGCAUAGACAGAUGAUGUGGAAUGAAUUGUGUUGCCAAAUCUACUCAUAGUAGUAAAUCAGUGACAUGAAAGGCUCCUUCAAUACCAUUUACCCACCCCCACUCUAGGACAAGCCACUUGUGCUCUGUGAUAAAGGACAGACAGAAAGAAAAAAGAGACAGAAAGAGAGAGAAAGAAAGAGACAAAGAGAAAGAGAGAAAGAAAAGGAAAAGAACAGAAGAGAAAAGACAAGACAAAAGAAAAGAAUAGGACUAGGACUAGGAACCCACAAGUAGGAGAAAGAGGAAAGAAAAAAGGAAGAGAAGGAAUAAUGUCAGCUCAGGCAUUUCCCCUAUCUGUUCUAAUUAGAUAGACGUCUAGUGUUAAAAAGAAAGAUAGACAGAGGCACCUGGAUGGCUCAAUGGUUGAGCGUCUGACUUCGGCUCAGGUCAUGAUCUCAUAGUUUGUGAGUUCCAGCCCCACAUCAGGCUCACUGGGGUCACCACGGAGCUUGCUUCAGAUCCUCUGUAUCCCUCUCUCUCUGACCCUCCCCGACUCACACUUUCUCUCUCAAAAAUAAAUAUUUUAAAAAAAGGUGGAUAAUUCUUUUUGUGGGAUCCUAUUGCUGGAGGAAGACAACUGUAUACACUAUGUUGCCAAGGGACAGGUAACAGGUUAGAUAGGUCGUGGGCUUCACACUAAUGUACAUUUAUAAAUCAUAUACAUAUUGGAUUUUCUGCUCAUUAUAUCAGAUAAUGAGAUGAAUGAUUGAAUGUAUGACACAGUGGUCAAUUAUCACGUGGAGGAUAUAAAUUCUAUUGUGCUGAGGACAUUUAUCUCUUUAUUGAUCUGGCUCUGAAAGCAAAGAUCAUAAAUUACAAGCCUUCAAUAACUGUAUGAUAAAUAUUCUAAUAACAAAAUGCCACCAGGUCCUGUUUCCCCAAUAAAUUUCCAUAUGGUUUCAGUUAAAGAAGUAAAAUGCAGAGAAUUUUUACUUAAUUUUUAUUUUAUUAUCAAAAAUUAUAUGUAGAAUGAAGACCAUACAGAAAAGCCUAUCUAUCCCGAACAGUCAUGUGCUGGAGCCAGCAUGCACAAGGUUCCCUAGAUAUUGUUACAUUUUCAGGAAUUUUGUGAACUGAUGGAUGUUACAUUGGUAGCCUGAAAUUGGCCAUGGUGGUGGGGGGGGGUAUUUUAUACCACGGAAAUCAGUAAAUGAUACGAAUUAGCCCCCCAGCCCCUCCCAGACAAUUGUUAAACAUCAUUGCUCAUGGACUAGAGAUGCUGCGGAAAACUGCCUGAUAAUUCAAAACCAUUGUGUGAUAUGGGUAGAAAUCUCUUCUUACCACCUUUUCCCUCUAAUUCUUUUUUUCCUCAUUUCCUGCCUUCUGCUGGAUAAAAGUUUCCUAGAGACCCUUUUAUCCUUCUGUUGGUUUAGAAACUAGACAUUGUUUUCUUAUAAUUUUAGUCAUUAUCCUACAUGUUUAAAAUGUUUGCUGAACUAUAAACUUUCCAGUAGUUCUAUCCUCUUUUUGAGCACAAGAAUCUAUGCAUGCCUUAACCACGAACUGAAUACUACUGUCCCCCUGAAUUUUAUGACUAUUUAGAUUUAUUUCACCCCAAGUCAUUUCUUACAGUUAACAGUUACACUUUGAAAAUAUUCUACGAAAUUAUUUCAUUUCAAAUGAAUUUCUGCUUCAUUUGUGAUGCCAGCAAGUUGUCUUUGUUAGCCUUAGAGUUUGUGUGUUUUGAAAUUUCAGUUGGCAGGCUCACUUUGAGGAGGAGGAGAAGAAUUUUUCCCUUUCCCUCUCACUUUCUCUCUGUGCUUACUUACUCUCUUAGUGUAAUGACUUCGGGGUUGUGUCUUCUUGGCUCCCUAGGUCUCUAGCCCAGAGCCAGUUUUUAGAAUGGAAUUUUGUGCUCCUAUCCCAUGGUUUUAUUAGGCAUAUGAAAGAGCUCAUCACUGUGGCAGCAGAAGGCCCAGCCACUUAUUUAUCCUACCAUUCUCAGGCAGAAGCUGCCUAAGAGCCAUAGUCCUGGCUGAUGGUCAGCACCUCCCUAGGUGUUGGAGAACAACAGAGGAAAUUGCUACAGUCAGAGCACAGGAUCAUAUGACCUCUCCUUAUCCCAUUCUUUUCCUCAGCUUUUCAUCAGCCAACAAGAACUACUCCACACACUGGCUUCAGGCAGGAGUCUAACUCUGGACAGUCUUCCUUGGAGCCCUCUUAGUCCUUUUAACCACAGGAGCCAAACUUCCAGCUAUCACUGCUUGCUUCUGAUCCCGGCAGAUUUAGGACUUCAGCUUAGCUGAGUGAGCAUUUUGUGUUUUCAUUCCACUCUGAUCUUAGAAUCUAGAUUCCUUCCUUCCUUCCCUAGUAUAAUGUUUUUGGCCUUUUUUAUUUAAAACAAGCUUUUUUAAUGCUUAUUUUGGGGAGAGAGAGAGACAGAGCACAAGUGGGAGAGGGACAGAGAGAGAGGGAGACACAGAAUCUGAAACAGACUCCAGGCUCUGAGCUGUCAGCACAGAGCUCGACGUGGGGCUCUAACUCACAAACCAUGAGAUCAUGACCUGAAGUCAGAUGCUCAACUGACUGAGCCACCCAGGCACCCCUGGGCCUUUCUUUUUUAUAUGUGGCCUGUCAUUGUUACAUUUUUGGAAAAGCAUAAAGUUAAAGAUCCCCUUUGACAGAUAUUCUUGCCUGGAAACAUCUAAAGGCAAAAAUCCUUCAAAUUCAAAGUUACCCAAUAAUUUCUUCUGCUUUCCACCACCCUAAGUUGUUUUCCUUUGGUAAUUAAUAUCUACUGGUGCAAAGAAUGUAUUAAUAAUGUAUAUGGCCAAGAUUAGCAGCUGUGAGAUGUGCCCUUGCUCUUAUUUUAUAGAGGAAGCAAAGUCUACGUCAUAGGUGUCAAACUCCCCCCACAUCUUGAUUCUCACCCCUCACACCUGCGUAUUCCCCUAAGGCAGCCUUGGCAGGCCAAUGUUUACAUCAGAAGGAAAUUGUCAAACUGUAGAAUGUCAUGUCACUGACCAUGGUCCUGAAACAUCAUGAGCCAUGAAGACAUAGGUGUUUAUCUUAAUCCUGGGUUCAGAAAUGACUUCUCUUCAACCUUUCCCUGGAAUUCUGAACCAGGAGAUAGAGUAGGUGGUGGUGGAAAACAGGACAAGUGAUGUGGCAGGGGGAUAUGGGGAAGGGGGGUACGAAAUGAAGCACAAUAGGCAGAAUCUGUUGGAAAGGAAUAUAAUCACUGAGACUGCCAGGGAUGAUUUAUUUUGACAUCAUUUUCAUGUAUUCAAAGCAACCAAAGAAGAACCCAUAGUUAACCAUGUCUACAUAAUCCACUUUUAACAAACUUAUCAUGUUUCUGAUGCUUAAACUUUUAUUUUUGCUUUGGGCAAGUAUGUUGGGGGAGUGCAUUUGACCUUUUUUUUUUUUUUUUUUUUUUUUUGCCUCAUAUUCUUUUCCUUAAUAUUAUGUUUUCAGUUAGGAGAGAUUUAUAAAGACCAUGAGUCCUAAUAUUCAAUUUCUAACUCAAGUCCAUCAUAUUGCUGUGUAUGCUUUUGAAGGUAUCACCUCCUCUCUGCAAUUUUUAGUUCUUCAAAAGGAACUGACAUUUACUGAGCUCCUGCCAUGUGCUAGCAAUGUGCCAAAUAUUGGGGAUAAAAGCAAAAAAGACACAUUCUCUGUUUUGGAACUAGACAGUGGUGAUUGUAAAAAACUGUGAAUGUGCUGAAUCACACAUUUCCUUUAAUGGUUCCCUUUAAAAUGGUCAAUGUUUAUGUGAAUUUCACCUAAACAUAUGCACACACACACACAUGCACACACCAUACAGCAACAUGACCUUGGGUACUGAACUAUGAUACAGACCUUGAUUUGAAUCCUAGCUCUGUCAGUUUCCAGUUGUGAGACAUCAGGACAGUCACUUACCUUCUAAGAGGUUCACUUUCCCAGUAUUAACCUGUCUCAUAUGGCAGGGGUUAGGAUUCACUGAAAUAAUGCAUGUAAAGUGCAUUUCACUGUGUCUGACACAUAGCAUGCUUUAAAUAAAUCUUACCACUAAUAUUAUCUGUACUCCUCACACAGAUAACCCCAGAUUUAUUCAACUACUUUUAUUUUAACUCUCGGGUAUCUUUUAGGCUGUACUUGAUUUGGUUGAAUGUGAGCUUUCUUUGGCUAAAUGAGCUUUGCCAUGAACAACGAUUUUUGCAUAACAUAGAACUUGGCUAUAAUUAAAAAGAAAAAUGAACUAUAGGUCCACAAAAGUAUAUGCUACCUUUAUACAGAUAUCCAGUUCAGGGUCAUAGAAAAUAUCUCUAAGUGAUCAUGAUCCUCUACCCUGGACACAGAUGCAGAAUCCUUCUAAUAUAGCGUCCUAGCAAUCAGGUGGACCAUCCUGGGAUAUGAGAUGACACCAAUUUGCCAUCUCUUUGUAUAUAGUUUAUUCCUCUCAGACAGACACAUAUGACCAAGAUAUCUUAGCACAGAAUAUGUAUUUGAUUCUUGAAGUCCUCGGUAAAGUCAGAAAAUAUUGGUAAUGACAGAAAUACCCCUCUUCUACAAUUGGGCAGUAAGCUUGGGAAGAAUUUAACACAAACCCUUAGUAUCUGAGACAUAUUUCUAAAAAAAUAAAAGGGAAGAAGGAAGGAAACAAGGAAGGAAGCAAAUAAGGAAGAAAACACUAUGGCCUUAUGAUAUAAUACUAAUACUUGACUUUGUGACGAUGUUCUACUGAAUUAAAUAUUUUGGGGCACCUGGGUGGCUCAGUCAGUUAUGCAUCCAACUCUUGGUUUCAGCUCAGGUCAUGAUCUCACGGUUUGGUGAGUUCAAGCCCCAUAUCAGGCUCUGUGCUUGGGUUUCUCUCUCUCUCUCCCCCUCUGUCUCUGUCCCUCUCCCACUCAUGCUGUCUCUGUCUCUCUCAAAAUAAACUUAUAAUUUUUUUUUUUUUUUACAUUUGAUUCUCACUGGUAGACAGGUGGACACUGCUAUCCUCACCCACAGCUAAGGAAGUAGAGGCUUGGAGAGAUUAAAUGAGUUAAGGUCAUAUACCAACCAAGUCAUGGACUGUAUUAGUUUCCUAGGGCUGCUGUGACAAGGUAACACAAACUGAGUGGCUUAACAAGAGAUACUUAUUGUCCCACAGCCCUGGAGGCUGGAUGUCUGAGAUCAAGACUCAAGGCUGGUUAGCUCCCUCAAAGGUGCUAACAAAGGAUCUGUUCCAGGCCUCUCUCCUAAUUUUAAUUGUUUCCUGGCUUAGAGCUGCAUAAGGCAUUCUCUCUAUGUGCAUAUCUGUGUACAAAUUUCCCCUUUUUAUAAAGACACCAGUUAUACUGGUUUAGGGGUCCACCCUACUCCAGUAUGAUCUCAUUCUAACUAAUUACAUCUGCAAUGGCUCUAAUUCCAAAUAAGAUCAUAUUAUGGGAUAUUGGGGGUUAGGACUUCUACGUAUGAAGUUUUAGGAGACAUAAUUCAAACCAUAACAUGGGUUGAUCAAAGCCAAGCAUUCUGUACAAGCAUGAGAAACACUGCUUGAACCUAAGGAUUUAAGCUUUGGGCUUCUCUUAAAGGCAAGAAUUUCUAUUAUUCACUAAAAUAAUAGCUUUUUAAAUAAAAUUCUUCUUUCAGAAACAUUCAAUAGUCCUUCAUAUUAGAAACCAAUUAUGGGGGGCUCUUGGGUGGCUCAGUCCAUUAGGCGCCCAGCUUCGGCUCAGGUCAUGAUCUCACGGUUUGUGAGUUCAAGCCCUGCAUCGGGCUCUGUGCUGACAGCUCAGAGCCUGGAGUCUGUUUCAGAUUCUGUGUCUCCCUCUCUCUCUGCCCCUCCCCCACUCAUGCUGUCUCUCUCUCUCUCUCUCUCUCUCUCUCUCUCAAAAAUAAACAUUAAAAAAAAUUUCAGAAACCAAUUAUGGGAUUUUUCCCCCACUCAUUGGCCUGGUAUGAUACCUAUGUCAUGUAUUUGAUGAGGUUCCUUAUUUCCUUAGGAGGUUCCAAAUUAUAAUACUAGAAGGUUGGCUGGAAGCUGCACACAUAUCCAAAAGGAGAUGGCAGAUCAAGAGAAUCUAUGAUUACUCAUUAUAUUUAAUAUCACUCUUAUAAAUUUCGAAUCUAUUUAAAAAAACGAAUCAGCCCUUUCCUCAUUAGUGCCAACAGGCUAUGUCUGUUAUUUUUAUCCCUGCCAGAAAUCAUCAGUGGCCUGUAAUAAUGUAGUACUAGUGACAUGAGCCUUCAUUUCCAUUUUUAAUUAAAAUUCUUACUGACCUAGAGCCAGAUUUCCUUCUGCACUAGAGCCUGUGGAAAUUCCACAGUGGAAACUACAGUAGCCAGGGAGUAGAGGAUCAGGCAGGAAGCCGGGAACUUCACACUGUACCAGAAGAACAUCACAGCUCUUAAGAGAAAAUCCAGGAGGCGCCUGGGUGGCUCAGUCAGUUGAGUAUCUGACUCUUGAUUUCAGCUCAGGUCAUGAUCCUAGGGUCAUGGGAUUGAGCCCUGCAUUGGGCUCUGCAUUGGGCAGGGAGCCUGCUUGGGAUUCUCUCUCUCUCUUCCUCUGCUUUUCCCCCCAGCUUGUUCUCUCUCUCUGUCUCUUUCUCUCUCUCAAAAAUAAAUAAAUUUAAAAGAGAGAGAGAGAGAGAAAGAGAGAGAGAGAGAGAAGAUCCAGGAACGGUGUCAACCUGGCCCCUCCAAGCUCUCUACUUGUCCUUACUUUCCCCAUCCCGCCGAGGUCCUAGAUCAGCCUCAGUGAGGAUCAUGAAUGCCCCUCCUCAUGAUCCACUUCCAUUGUGACUUAUCAUCCUAUGGAUGCUAUUGGCUCUCCUUCCUGACUCUCACACCUCUUUUGAUGGUACCACUAU